rnacentral:pre_miRNA from 1 species
AGUGAAAUCGCUGGGUCAAAUGGUGGUUCAAUUCCAAGUCCAAGGAAUCCCCAUACUGCUUUACAGAUUGGUUGCACCAAUUUGCAGGCCCAAGAGCAAU